GUAACUGAUGCUGAGACUCUACUGACUGUGUGACUGGUAGACGGCGGUGGGUGGCGCAACAGUUCCAACCAACCUGCAGCCGGCUCCACACAAUGUUGGCUUUCUUUCUGUGUUCUCCUGGUAUCUUAUCCUCUGCUUGUCUGAUGUCACCUCCCGUCUGCUCCCUCCGCUGCACACUUUUGAACUGUUUACUGUUUGUGUGCAUUCACCAGACGCCAGUGACUCACUAGAUCUGUUUAGUCGUGCCACACCAAGAGUUUUGGACUGAACCCUGAACCAAGAAACUGACUUUAACUGUUUUGCCUGCCUUCUCAUUCUGGUUAUUAAAGAUCAUUACAAACUGU